AUUGAACGCUGGCGGCAUGCUUUACACAUGCAAGUCGAACGGUAACAGGGAGCUUGCUCCGCUGACGAGUGGCGAACGGGUGAGUAAUGCAUCGGAACGUACCCAGUCGUGGGGGGAUAACGUAGCGAAAGUUACGCUAAUACCGCAUACGUCCUGAGGGAGAAAGCGGGGGACCGUAAGGCCUCGCGCGAUUGGAGCGGCCGAUGUCGGAUUAGCUAGUUGGUAGGGUAAAGGCCUACCAAGGCGACGAUCCGUAGCGGGUCUGAGAGGAUGAUCCGCCACACUGGGACUGAGACACGGCCCAGACUCCUACGGGAGGCAGCAGUGGGGAAUUUUGGACAAUGGGCGAAAGCCUGAUCCAGCCAUGCCGCGUGAGUGAAGAAGGCCUUC
rnacentral:rRNA from 1 species